rnacentral:lncRNA from 1 species
CCCUCAAGCAUAGGAAGUAGUCGGAGAAUCAUCGGACUCGGAAUCUGAAUCACAGUAUCUGGCAAAGAAGUCUCGUCGUCCUCUGGCUCUCUUGGAAUCCCUCAUAAGCAGCUCGUCUUUCUCUUCCAAUUCCUUCCGGACCUUAGCUAGUUCCUUCUUCAACAUUAGGUUCUCAUGAGUCUUCUGCUCAUCUCUACCAUCCAAAGUCAUGAUUAGAUUCUCAGCUUGAUUGUACC